rnacentral:rRNA from 1 species
CCUGGCUCAGGACGAACGCUGGCUGCGUGCUUAACACAUGCAAGUCGAACGCUGAAGCCGACAGCUUGCUGUUGGUGGAUGAGUGGCGAACGGGUGAGUAACACGUGAGUAACCUGCCCCUGAUUUCGGGAUAAGCCUGGGAAACUGGGUCUAAUACCGGAUACGACCUCCUGACGCAUGUUGGGUGGUGGAAAGUUUUUCGAUCGGGGAUGGGCUCGCGGCCUAUCAGCUUGUUGGUGGGGUAAUGGCCUACCAAGGCGACGACGGGUAGCCGGCCUGAGAGGGCGACCGGCCACACUGGGACUGAGACACGGCCCAGACUCCUACGGGAGGCAGCAGUGGGGAAUAUUGCACAAUGGGGGAAACCCUGAUGCAGCGACGCAGCGUGCGGGAUGACGGCCUUCGGGUUGUAAACCGCUUUCAGCAGGGAAGAAGCGAAAGUGACGGUACCUGC